GUUGUAUGGUUAAGUGACUAAGCGUACACGGUGGAUGCCUUGGCAGUCAGAGGCGAUGAAAGACGUAGUAACUUGCGAUAAGCCCAGAUUAGGUAGUAACAACCAUUUGAGUCUGGGAUUUCUGAAUGGGGAAACCCACGUGCAUAAGCACGUAUCCUUACCUGAAUACAUAGGGUAAGGAGGCGAACCGGGGGAACUGAAACAUCUAAGUACCCCGAGGAAAAGAAAUCAACCGAGAUUCCGAAAGUAGCGGCGAGCGAAAUUGGACUAGCCCUUAAGCUUUACACGCGUUAGACGAACGGUCUGGAAAGUCCGACGAUACAGGGUGAUAGUCCCGUAGUUGACGACGUGUGUUCAGUGAAAUCGAGUAGGGCGGGACACGUGAUAUCCUGUCUGAAUAUGGGGGGACCAUCCUCCAAGGCUAAAUACUACUGACUGACCGAUAGUGAACCAGUACCGUGAGGGAAAGGCGAAAAGAACCCCUGUGAGGGGAGUGAAAUAGAACCUGAAACCGUGUACGUACAAGCAGUAGGAGCAGGCUUGUCCUGUGACUGCGUACCUUUUGUAUAAUGGGUCAGCGACUUAUAUUCAGUGGCAAGGUUAACCAUCUAGGGGAGCCGUAGGGAAACCGAGUCUUAACUGGGCGUUCAGUCUCUGGAUAUAGACCCGAAACCAGGUGAUCUAGCCAUGGGCAGGUUGAAGGUUGAGUAACAUCAACUGGAGGACCGAACCGACUAAUGUUGAAAAAUUAGCGGAUGACUUGUGGCUAGGGGUGAAAGGCCAAUCAAACCUGGAGAUAGCUGGUUCUCCCCGAAAGCUAUUUAGGUAGCGCCUCGGACGAAUACUACUGGGGGUAGAGCACUGUUAAGGCUAGGGGGUCAUCCCGACUUACCAACCCUUUGCAAACUCCGAAUACCAGUAAGUACUAUCCGGGAGACACACGGCGGGUGCUAACGUCCGUCGUGGAGAGGGAAACAACCCAGACCGCCAGCUAAGGUCCCAAAUUACUACUAAGUGGGAAACGAUGUGGGAAGGCUCAGACAGCCAGGAUGUUGGCUUAGAAGCAGCCAUCAUUUAAAGAAAGCGUAAUAGCUCACUGGUCGAGUCGGCCUGCGCGGAAGAUGUAACGGGGCUAAGUAGUAAACCGAAGCUGCGGCAAUAUACUUUUGUAUAUUGGGUAGGGGAGCGUUCUGUAAGCGGUUGAAGGUGUGUGGUAACGCAUGCUGGACGUAUCAGAAGUGCGAAUGCUGACAUGAGUAACGAUAAAGGGGGUGAAAAACCUCCUCGCCGGAAGACCAAGGGUUCCUGUCCAACGUUAAUCGGGGCAGGGUAAGUCGACCCCUAAGGCGAGGCCGAAAGGCGUAGUCGAUGGGAAACGGGUUAAUAUUCCCGUACUUCUUACAAUUGCGAUGGGGGGACGGAGAAGGCUAGGUGGGCCUGGCGACGGUUGUCCAGGUUCAAGUGCGUAGGCUGAGAGAUUAGGUAAAUCCGGUUUCUCUUAAGGCUGAGACACGACGUCGAGCACCUACGGGUGUGAAGUCAUUGAUGCCAUGCUUCCAGGAAAAGCCUCUAAGCUUCAGAUUGUAAGGAAUCGUACCCCAAACCGACACAGGUGGUCGGGUAGAGAAUACCAAGGCGCUUGAGAGAACUCGGGUGAAGGAACUAGGCAAAAUGGUACCGUAACUUCGGGAGAAGGUACGCUCUCGACGGUGAAGUCCCUUGCGGAUGGAGCUAUUGAGAGUCGCAGAUACCAGGUGGCUGCAACUGUUUAUUAAAAACACAGCACUGUGCAAAAUCGUAAGAUGACGUAUACGGUGUGACGCCUGCCCGGUGCCGGAAGGUUAAUUGAUGGGGUUAGACUUCGGUCGAAGCUCUUGAUCGAAGCCCCGGUAAACGGCGGCCGUAACUAUAACGGUCCUAAGGUAGCGAAAUUCCUUGUCGGGUAAGUUCCGACCUGCACGAAUGGCGUAAUGAUGGCCACGCUGUCUCCACCCGAGACUCAGUGAAAUUGAAAUCGCUGUGAAGAUGCAGUGUACCCGCGGCUAGACGGAAAGACCCCGUGAACCUUUACUACAGCUUGGCACUGAACAUUGACCCUACAUGUGUAGGAUAGGUGGGAGGCUUUGAAGCACGUACGCCAGUAUGUGUGGAGCCGUCCUUGAAAUACCACCCUUGUAGUGUUGAUGUUCUAACGUCGACCCCUAAUCGGGGUUGCGGACAGUGCCUGGUGGGUAGUUUGACUGGGGCGGUCUCCUCCCAAAGAGUAACGGAGGAGCACGAAGGUGGGCUAAUCACGGUUGGACAUCGUGAGGUUAGUGCAAUGGCAUAAGCCCGCUUGACUGCGAGAAUGACAAUUCGAGCAGGUGCGAAAGCAGGUCAUAGUGAUCCGGUGGUUCUGAAUGGAAGGGCCAUCGCUCAACGGAUAAAAGGUACUCCGGGGAUAACAGGCUGAUACCGCCCAAGAGUUCAUAUCGACGGCGGUGUUUGGCACCUCGAUGUCGGCUCAUCACAUCCUGGGGCUGAAGUCGGUCCCAAGGGUAUGGCUGUUCGCCAUUUAAAGUGGUACGCGAGCUGGGUUUAGAACGUCGUGAGACAGUUCGGUCCCUAUCUGCCGUGGGCGUUGGAAGAUUGAAGGGGGCUGCUCCUAGUACGAGAGGACCGGAGUGGACGAACCUCUGGUGUUCGGGUUGUGUCGCCAGACGCAUUGCCCGGUAGCUAAGUUCGGAAUCGAUAACCGCUGAAAGCAUCUAAGCGGGAAGCGAGCCCUGAGAUGAGUCUUCCCUGAUACUUUAAGUAUCCUAAAGGGUUGUCGGAGACUACGACGUUGAUAGGUCAGGUGUGUAAGUGCUGUGAGGCAUUGAGCUAACUGAUACUAAUUGCCCGUGAGGCUUAACCAUACAACACCCAAGGGGUUU
rnacentral:rRNA from 2 species